rnacentral:lncRNA from 1 species
AAAAUACUAAACUCCAAAGAAAAGCUCUAUGGUAUUGCCUGAUUUCUUGAUGUCUAUGUUCUUCUCUUUCUCUUCCCUCUGGAAAUAUAGAUGCUUUGAAACAUCCUGUUCCAGUUGAUUCGAUUUCACGAAUAAAGUCUCUCGGUCCUGUUACAUCUGCUGUAUAAGUGACUGAUAACUUUUUGAGCUGCAGGGCACGAAUAAAGUCUCUAGGUCCUGUUAUAUCUGCCCUAUAAGCGACUGAUAACUUUUUGAGCUGCAGGUCAAAGUCUAUCUCUUGAACUCCUUGAAGUUCAAGAAGAGAAUUC